CCACGGCGGUGCAUGGUUGUCGUCAGCUCGUGUCGUGAGAUGUUGGGUUAAGUCCCGCAACGAGCGCAACCCUCGUUCCAUGUUGCCAGCACUUCGGGUGGGGACUCAUGGGAGACUGCCGGGGUCAACUCGGAGGAAGGUGGGGAUGACGUCAAAUCAUCAUGCCCCGUAUGUCUUGGGCUUCACGCAUGCUACAAUGGCCGGUACAGAGGGUUGCGAAACCGUGAGGUGGAGCUACUCCCAAAAAACCGGUCACAGUUCGGAUUGGGGUCUGCAACUCGACCCCAUGAAGUCGGAGUCGCUAGUAAUCGCAGAUCAGCAACGCUGCGGUGAAUACGUUCCCGGGCCUUGUACACACGCCCGUCAAGUCACGAAAGUCGGUAACACCCGAAGCCGGUGGCCGAACCCUUGUGGGG
rnacentral:rRNA from 1 species